CAGCCGCCGCGGGAAUACGUAGGUGGCAAGCGUUGUCCGGAAUUAUUGGGCGUAAAGGGCUCGCAGGCGGUUUCUUAAGUCUGAUGUGAAAGCCCCCGGCUCAACCGGGGAGGGUCAUUGGAAACUGGGAAACUUGAGUGCAGAAGAGGAGAGUGGAAUUCCACGUGUAGCGGUGAAAUGCGUAGAGAUGUGGAGGAACACCAGUGGCGAAGGCGACUCUCUGGUCUGUAACUAACGCUGAGGAGCGAAAGCGUGGGGAGCGAACAGGAUUAGAGACCCCCGUAGUCCCUGUCUCUUAUAC
rnacentral:rRNA from 1 species